AAUUACCAUAGGAGUCCACAUGUGGUAAUUAUGGAUCUAGCACGAUAUACUGCGUAUCAUGUUGUUGGAGAUCAUUUUAAAUGAUUAACCAGUCUAUUGGUGGUUUGAGUCUUUCCUUUUGAAUCUAUAGGUUGUUCAAUGGUCUAAUAUUAACUGUGUUCAGAUUUAUGGUAAUUUUCAUUCUUUUACAGCCUUAAUAACCAAGAAAAGGUGUGCUUUGAUAAUCUUUUCUUUCUCUUCGGCAGGUUGGUAAUGUAGAAAGGAUACAUGUAUACUAUGCCCAUGGACUAGAUAGCCCAACCUUUGUUCGCCGGUGUUAUUGGCUCCUAGAUAAGACCUUUGAACACAUUGUCCUUGUUCAUUACCGUGAAACACAAGAGUUUCAGAAUUUUCCAUCCACAUCGUUGAACUCAAAUUCUGGUUCUGUCUCUAACCCAUUAACUCCGUGGCUUUUAUCGGAGGAACUUGAUUCCAAGGCUACUCAUGUUUAUUUUCUUGGUGAAAAUGAAUUGUCAGGUGAUACUGGCCGAACCUGUCAAAAAUAAAUGAGUCAUAGUUUGUUUGAUCAUUCAUUUUCUAAUCUUUCUUCUUUAUAUUUAAUUAGUUGUUUAAUUUCUUAAAAAAGAAUUAUGGUUUAUUUAUAGUAUAUUUGGUAGUAUGCAUGCCUCAUGUCACGUGGUUAGGAUCUGAAGCUAACCAUACGUGCGGCACUUGGCUAACUACAAUGCCCACGUAGCCAAGUAAGCCUUUCCCGGAAGGGGUAGUGCGCCAAGCAC